GAAGUAAAACUUAGGACGGUGCCUUCCGCUUCGGACGAACGCGAGCGUUGUUGCAUCGGGACUACAUAAGACUGAACGUCCACAGGGGAAUUUGGUCCCAGCUGGGAUAAACCACGUUACGGAACUCAGGAGCUGUGCCCUCAAUUCAGGUCUCUUGGGUUGGAACAUCUUUGGCACUGACGGUAACGCUUAACAACCAGGCAGUUCGGCACGAUAGCAUCGUGGGCUAAUUCCGACAAAGGGGCCCCAUUCCUCAUCUCCACAAGUGUCCUUCCCCCCUUGAUGGACCACAGAUGGCCGACCAAAGAAGCCAAUCCCACAAGUAUUGUUUCAACCACUGAGCAGAACCGCAGAGACUCCGAAGAGCCAAAUCUGGUAGCCAGGUCGCAUACGCAACCCAAGUGACAUCACAUCACCGCAUACGAUGAGUGUCACUGCUCGAAUGGCAACGCUUCUUCCGAUUAGUAUUCUGUAAUUCCAGUGGCCUGAGCGGGAACCCCGUCUGUUGGGGAUUUUAUCCACACAAGAAUGUUGCGCUUUCCAACUUUCGAAGACGAUUGCUUCAUGUCAAAACAAGGACACGACUGAUUUUUUUUUUUCCUCAAGUACACUGGAACAGCUAACGUAAAACUCCCCCGAGGUUGUCCCAUAUUCCUCUUAACUCGCACCAAACUCCAAACGGCCUCCAGCAUACCUGAGAAGAUCCAAGAUCCGCCAGCAUCAAAGAAUUAGCUCUGCACGCGUUUGGGGAGGUUUUCUUUGGCGAUUUGUGACUGUAUCGCAACACCUAUUCCCAAAAAAGAUCCGGCCUCCACGGGGAAUGGUAAAGAGAAAAGAACAACAAUCUUCACUGAGAGUGACUGGCUUUGUACGAUUCCACAGCAAUCUGUUGCAUUGAAGGGUUGCCAUCAGGACCAGGGGGGCCUCUUUCUCCAAAGUCGCCAGGAAAUCCCUAAGCAGACAGACGAGGUCGUUAUCGCAAUACCACAGACACUCACUCUCUCGCCAUCAAGACCAGGCCGACCAAAGAGCCCCGGGAUGCCGAUCGGCCCCUAAAGAGAUUAAGGACAGCAAGGUUGGGCAACGUCACAAACUAGAUUCACUGCACCUGCCUGCCAGGAUAACCUUUGACCCCGGUGCUUCCGUCUGCUCCCCGCUUGCCCUUUGGAGAGAAGGAAUGAAAGAGAGAUCAGCGCAAAGGAGACACGAGGAAGGAGAUUAAAACGUAUGGAAGUCAUUAUUGGCCGAUAAGGAGCAGAAGAAUUGCAGCUUGUGCAGCAACCUCCUUCUGAUGACAAAAUGCCAAGUUUGCAAUGGAGCUGUGAAACACGUGUGCCUACAGGGGACGAAGUUGGAUUACCCAGAGAAAACUCAAGCAUGGGAAGAAACAUAAAAACUCCACGCGGGAAGGCCGGGGCCAAGACUGAAACCUCAACCCUCAGAACUGUGAGACAGAUGUGCUAACCACUAGUCACUGUGCUGCCCUACAUAUGCCAUUUUAUUGCUAAUCAUGCAAGCACUUGACACUUUGGUGUCAAAUUGCAUUUUAUUCCACGCUUACUCUACCAGACACAUGUAUUUGGUGUUCUCGCUCUUUAGUGUAUACGUAUGUGUUCUCGCAAAAGUUUGGUUCUUGCUUUUAAAAAGCCAAAAAUGUUCGAGAAGUCGAGCGUUGUUUGACAUAGCUGACCUUCAAAGAGUACAUGUGGCUUUAAUUCAA